rnacentral:rRNA from 1 species
UUACGGGAGGCAGCAGUGAGGAAUAUUCUGCAAUGGGCGAAAGCCUGACAGAGCAAUACCGCGUGAAGGAUAAAAGCCUAUUGGUUGUAAACUUCUUUUCUCAAAGACGAAGAUCUGACAUUAUUUGAGGAAUAAGCAUCGGCUAACCCUGUGCCAGCAGCCGCGGUAAUACAGGGGAUGCAAGUGUUAUCCGGAAUCAUUGGGCGUAAAGCGUUUGUAGGUGGAUACUUAAGUCUUAUGUUAAAUCUCUAAGCUUAACUUAGAACAGGCAAAAGAUACUGAAUAUCUUGAGUAUGGUAGAGGUAAAGGGAAUUUUCAGUGGAGCGGUGAAAUGCGUAGAUAUUGAAAAGAACACCAAUAGCGAAAGCACUUUACUGGGCCAUCACUGACACUCAGAAACGAAAGCUGGGGGAGCAAACAGGAUUAGAUACCCUAGUAGUC